rnacentral:lncRNA from 1 species
UUCAUCUAAAGUAUGUCAUCAACCAUUGAUAAACAAAUAAUAGUAACCAAGCAAAAGUAGGUAUCUACUUCCAAAAGAAAAUGUAAAAGCACGUAACAUUUUCACACACAAUUAAUGUUCUGAUCACUCGAGAUUUAGCAGUAAUGGAACUGAUAUUGGCAUCUCCAAUAUUGUAUAUGAUUGAAAAUUUGAAAGCAUUGGGCACCACCUUGCAAACAUGACAAGUCCAAAUUCAACAAAAACCGUUCCAUGCAUCAUGAUUCCUACAAACCCAACCCUUCACAUAAUAAUAAUAAAAAAAAAUCCCAAGCUACACUUUAUAUAUGUGUAAAGGGAUUUUUGCAAUUUCGAUUGCCAGUACAAUGGCAUCCAGCGAUACAGGGCAGUUGAUUGGUUUUACAGCCACAACGGUGGUGCUUGCAUGAACUAUUUUCACAGUUGCAAACAGAUCUCUCUUGCCCUUGGGCUUGUUGUGGCUGUUGUCGUGGCUGUUGUUGUGGCUGUUGUCGUGGCUGUUGUUGUGGCUGUUGUCGUGGCUGUUGUCGUGGCUGUUGUCGUGGCUGUUGUCGUGGCUGUUGUCGUGGCUGUUGUGCUUGUUGGACUUCUUCCUCCUCCUGCUUUUCUUCUUCCUGGACUUGCACUUUCUCUUCUUCUUGCUGGACUUGCACUUGCUCUUUCUCCUCCUCCUCACUCUCUGCCUCCUCCUCAUUCUCUGCUUCCUCCUUCUCAUUCUCAUUCUCUACCUCCUCUUUCUCAUUCUCAUUCUCUACCUCCUCUUUCUCAUUCUCAUUCUCUGCCUCCUCCUCCUCAUUCUCAUUCUCUGCCUCCUCCUCCUCCUCAUUCUCAUUCUCAUUCUCUGCCUCCUCCUCCUCUUCCUCAUUCUCAUCCUCCUCCUCCUCCUCCUCCUCCUUCUCUUCUUCCUCUUCAAUUAUUUUCUUCUUCCAUAAAGGAAUUCUUCUUUUCCAGAAAGGCAUUCUUCUUUCUUUUCUUUCUCUUUUGUUUUGAAUAAAAGAGAACACACUAUAUCCAUUAUAUAUAGAAUCAAAAAACAGUUCAGUUACAUGAAACACAGUUUCAACCAUACAGAAACAAGAAUGUGGUGAGCAUUGGUGAAUUUGGCAUGCCUAUAGCCACCUCAAAGUUUUGAAGUUCAUUGCUGCUGUUUUUUCUUUCAUUUUUUAGAACUAUUUGAUCCCACAUCCUCACAUUAUAUUUCAAAACUAAUAAACAUUGCACAAUACAGUGAAGACAUGAAAUUUCAAUCUAUUUUUUUAAAAAAAGACAGGUCUUCUAAUUUAUAUUUACUUUAUUUUUCAAAUUUUACAAUAUUCCUUCGAGUGAUUUUUAAUUUUUGGAAAUAUUUUGAGAAAAUUAUAUAAAACUUGAAAUUUUAUAAUCAAAUCUUUGCGUAACAUGGCGACAUUUAAUGAGAAUACCCAAAACAAUUAUAAAUUAGAAAAAAAUGAUUUUUUAAACUAAAACUUUGGUCUCUAAUUGAAUGAGUUUUGAAAAAACUAAGCUAGUUUGUAUAGAGAAAUUUUUUAUUUCUAUCAAACACCCUUUUAAUUUAAUUGAUUCAUGAGUUGGAAUUUGGUUGAUUUAAUUCAAAUUUAUUGUGAACUUAAGAAAGAUUUUAAUUAUUUAAUUAUUUGUGGUUAUUAGAACACUCUAAUUAAUUAAUCAACCAACCCUUUAUGUUAUCCAAUUAGAUUUGGAGUUUUGAAAAUUCAUAUAUUUACAAACCUUUCAUUUAUUGACUCUAAACUUUACGUAAAAAUAAUUGAUUUUAUUUUUUAAAUAUAAAAUAAAUUUAAUUUUGUUAAGAAAAAUAAUAUUAUUCGUAAAUCAUGUUGAUUUUUUUAAAAAAAUUAUAUUUGAAAAGAUAACAUAAAUAUUAUUAAAAAAUAUAUAUAUUUUAAAAAAGUUGUUAUCGAAAUAUUUUUCCUUAUUUUAGAAUAAAAACAUUUUUUUAAGAAUAAUUAUGACUGAUUUUAUUUUUCCGUUUCUUCUAAGGAAUGGGUCAGAAGGAUUUUACAAAAAGUUCAAACCCUAUGAUUUUUUGUAUUCCAAACACGUAUGUGUGUAUAUAUAUAUAGACUUUCCAAUCUCUAAUAUCUUCAAUUAAUCCUCACAAAGAAGGUUUCGAAGCGAUCAAUGGAGAAUAUGGAGAUGAGUGAGAAUUGGGAUAAAGGGCUUCCGUCAAUGGAGAAUGUGGAAAGACAAAUGGAGAAUAUGGAAAUGGGUGAGAGAAGAAUGAGUAUUGAUUGGGGCAAAGGGCUUCCACCUCUUAUUGCUAAAACAAUCUUCUCCAAACUUGUUAUCUCCAAUUUGCCUUCCUGCAGGUUCGUUUGUAAAACUUGGAACCAUUUAGUUUUACAUUACGCAUCCUCUACUCAAUUACAAUUUCUUACCAAUGCUUUUCUUCUCUCCACCUCUGAUCGAAUGCUCAAUUAUGAAUUAUGCAAUCCCAAAAUGCAUUGUAUCAAUCUUGAUAACAGACAAAGUUCAAAUGAUGUUGAUUUUGAUUUGGAGUGGGAAUUUAUUAAAUCAGGCUCGUUGCAAUUUUACGGUGAUUGGACAUUUAUGAUCCUACUGGCCCAUCCAUGCAAUGGCUUGAUGUUUAUUUCAAAAUGCAGUGACUAUACAUGGUGUCAAGGUAUAUUCAAUCCAAUGACUAAUGAGUUCUUUCAGGUUUCGGAGCAAGAUACUUUUGAUGAUUUUUAUCACUACGGAUUUGGUUUAAGCGCGAUUUCAAAACAAUACAAAUUAUUCAGAGUUUCUGAAGCAAUUCCUUACUCAGAAAGAUUUAGACUUAUGAUUACAUUUGGUAGAGAUGACACCCACUACACUAUGGAAGUUCUUACUUUUGGUAGAAGUGGAACCAACCACAUCCCUAUUCAUAACCAAUGGAGGCAUCUUCACAACCUCUCUUGUGAUUUGAUUCAUGGUGUUUACUUGAAUGGAAUCAUCUAUUGGUUGGGAAAAGAAAAAGGUAAAAAGGAAAAGAAGGAGUAUGUCAUAUAUGCUCUUGAUGUUGAAACCGAACAAAUUGAAAUGAGUGUAAUCUUGCAAGUUCAAGCAAGUGAUGGUAAGAUGCAUCCAUUUAAUGGUACCAUUUAUGCACUUUUUUAUAUCAACUGGGAAAAAGAUAGCAGGACAAUUCAAGUUUGGAGUAUGCAAGAGAAAUGUUCGUGGAUUAGACAAUUUGUUAUUCGUGAUAUUUCAAAGGAAUGGGGAUGUCUUGAGCUCAUCAAAAUAUUCGAAGACGGAGAGAUAUUAUUUCUGAUCGAUUCGGACUUUUUUUGCUUCUAUCAUCCUUUGACUGAAAAGAAGAGGAUUAUAUCAAAGAAUCAAAAGAAGAAUAGAUUUGUUUGUCAAAUAGAAUGUUUGAAUUUUGGUUCUCUACCGGAGAUUUUGGAAGGAACAAGUUUAUAAUUUUGUUAGCUAAGAAGUUUCCUUUAGAUUUUAUUGGUUUUAAUUAGAUUUAUAAUUUUUUAAAGCUUAUUUGUAUUUGAAUAGAAUGAAUUUUAUUUUAAGUAUUGAAAUACAACGUAUCCAACUCAAAUUUCGAGUUAUGUUAUGUUUGGAGAUUGCAGGUUAAGUAUAUUUUCAUAGGAAAAAAAAAAGACUUUAAUUAGAGCAUGUUUGCAGUACUUCCUAAAUAAAUUAUUUUGUUCUCUUUUCUUCGAAGCUAUUCCUUACCACCAAAUAUCAUAAGUCAGAUUUAGUUCAUCUAAGGUAUGUCAUCAACAAGCAAAAGUAGGUAUCAUUUUCACACCAAAUAAUGAACUGCUUGCAUCUAUAUUUAGCCAAAGAGUAUAUGAGGUAAAAUCAGCAUAGGUAUCAUUUUCACACAAAAAGUGUUUUACGAGGUAAGAAGUAAUAUCCCAUUUUUGUUUAAUAUCAUACCACCAAGCAAGGGAGAUGCAAGCCAACAUACACUUCAUCUCUAACAUACUCAACAAUGGUUGAAGCAAUUGUUUGAGCCAAAAACAAGUAGUAGUAUGUCCUACUUGAAGAAGACUUUAGUUUUUGAAACAAUAUUCUUUAGAACAAAGCAUGCAAAAAGAACACAAUAUUCGAUUCGAAUUUUGUUGAUUUAAUUCAAGUUUAUUGUGAACUUAAGAAAGAUUUUAAUUAUUUAAUUAUUUGUGGUUACUAGAACACUCUAAUUAAUUAAUCAACUGACCCUUUAUGUCAUCCAAUUAGCUUUAGAGUUUUGAAAAUUCAUAUAUUACAAACCUUUCAUUUAUUUAUUGACUCUAAACUUUUCGUAAAAAUAAUUGAUUUUAUUUUUUAAAUAGAAAAUAAAUUUAAUUUUGUUAAGAAAAAUAAUAUUUUUUUGUUGUAAAUCCUGUGGAUUUUUUUUAAAAUUAUAUUUGAAAAGAUAACAUAAAUAUUAUUAAAAAAAUAUAUUUUUUAAAAAGUUGUUAUCGAAAUAUUUUUCCUUAUUUUAGAAUUAAAAACAUUUAUUCAAGCAUAAUUAUGACUGAUUUUAUUUUUCCGUUUCUUCUAAGGAAUGGGUCAGAAGGAUUUUACAAAAAGUUCAAACCCUAUGAUUUUUUGUAUUCCAAACACGUAAAUGUGUAUAUAUAUAUAUAUAGGCUUUCCGAUCUCUAAUAUCUUCAAUUAAUCCUCACAAAGAAGGUUUCGAAGCGAUCAAUGGAGAAUAUGGAGAUGGGUGAGAAUUGGGAUAAAGGGCUUCCGUCAAUGGAGAAUGUGGAAAGACAAAUGGAGAAUAUGGAAAUGAGUGAGAGAAGAAUGAGUAUUGAUUGGGGCAAAGGGCUUCCACCACUUAUUGCUAAAAUAAUCUUCUCCAAACUUGUUAUCUCCAAUUUGCCUUCCUGCAGGUUCGUUUGUAAGACUUGGAACCAUUUGGUUUUACAUUACGCAUCCUCUACUCAAUUACAAUUUCUUACCAAUGCUUUUCUUCUCUCCACCUCUGAUCAAAUGCUCAAUUAUGAAUUAUGCAAUCCCAAAAUGCAUUCUAUCAAUCUUGAUAACACACAAUGUUCUGAUGAUGUUGAUUUGGAGAUGGAAUUUAUUAAAUCAGGCUCGUUCCAAUUUUACGGUGAUUGGACAUUUAUGAUCCUAAUGGCCCAUCCAUGUAAUGGCUUGGUGUUUAUUUCAAAAUGUAGUGACUACACUUGGUGUCAAGGUAUAUUCAAUCCAAUGACUAAUGAGUUUUUCCAAGUUUCGGAACAGGAUACUUUUGAUGAUUUUUAUAACUACGGAUUCGGUUUAAGUCCCGUUACAAAACAAUACAAAUUAUUCCGAACUUCCAAAGCAAUUCCUUACUCAAAAAGAUUUAGACUUGUGAGUACAUGUAGUACCGAUGACACCCACUACAUGAUGGAAGUUCUUACUUUUGGUAGAAGUGGAACCAACCACAUCCCUAUUCAUAACCAAUGGAGGCAUCUUCACAACCUCUCUUAUGAUAUUGUUGUUGGGGAUGGUGGUGUUUACUUGAAUGGAAUCAUCUUUGGUUGGGAAAAGAAAAAUGUGAAAAGAAAGAGAAAGUACGAUAUAUAUGCUCUGGAUGAUGAAACCGAACAGAUUGAAAUGAGUGUAAUCUUGCAAGUUCACGCCAGGGAUGGUAAGAUGCAUCUAUUUAAUGGUACCAUUUAUGCAACUUUUUAUACCAAUUGGGAAAAAGAUGACCUGACGGUUCAAGUUUGGAGUAUGCAAGAGAAACAUUCGUGGAUUAGAAAAUUUGUUAUUAGUGAUAUUUCAAAGCAAUGGAGUUGUCUUGAACUCAUCAAAAUGUUCAAAGACGGAGAUAUAUCAGACUUUUUUUACUUCUAUAAUCCUUUGACUAAAAAGAAGAGUAUCAUAUCAAAGGAUCAAAAGAAGAAGAGUUGUGUUUGUCAAAUAGAAUGUUUGAAUUUUGGUUCUCUACCGAAGAUUUUUGAUGGAACAAAUUUAUAAUUUUGUUAGCAGUUUUAAAAGUUUCUUUAAUUUUGGUAUAUAUCAAGGAAAAAGGUUUGAUUAGGUUUAUACUUGUUUUAAAGCUUGUUUGCGUUUGAAUGGAAUAUAAUUUUAUUUUAAUUUUUGAAAUACAUAUAUCCAUUGCAAAUUACAUACUUAGUAUAGGAAGAUGAGUUGAUAUAGAAUGUUGGACGUUUUACAUGUUUAAUAGUUUCGAGGAGUAUUGAUUUCUAUGUCUACUGCACUUUUAUACUUUAAUUCACUCUUAGCAUAGUGUGAAGUCAUAUGAGAUAUAAGAUUUUUUUUAGCAUUCAUGAGCACUUGAAUCUCAAAUAUUGUUAAAGCUGGACUCUUAAAUCAUGAAUUUUAUGAUUUGAAUCAAUUUAAAACACAAACCAAUUUUUGUAUCGAUUUUAACUUUGAACUUUCACAAAAAUAACCAUUUGAAUCAAGUGUGAAUUUGACCAUCAAACUAAUAUUUUUGUAUCAAUUUAAACCUUUAAAAUUUAAGAAACAUAAGAAUUUGAAUUCAAAUUUUUGUAAGUGUAUCAACUUAAAUCGGUGAAAUUUGCAAAACGAAAAUUUAAAUGUAAAUUGACAUAUUUAUAAAAGAAUUUAAGUUCAAAUGUAAAUAACCCAAGUUAUUGUAAGAUACAUCAAGUUUGGAGUAUUCACAGGAAAGAUUCAUACGUUAGAGAAUUUGUUAUUCAUAAUAUAUAGACUCUUUAAGCUCAUUUGAACAUUUGAUGAUGGAGAGAAAUUAUUUUUUAUCAAUAAUAAUUUUUUUUGCUUUUAUAAUCCUUCGACUAAAAAGAAUGAUCAUAUAAUCGUUCGACUAAGAAGAAGACGAUCAUAUCAAAAUCAAAAGAAGAUGAGAUAUAUUUAUCAAAUAGAAUCUUUGAAAUUUAUAAUUUUGUUAGCUAAAAGUUUCCUUAGGAUUUUAUUAGUGUCUUGAUAUAGGUCAUAAAUUUUUUUUUGAUUACAUUUAUUAUAAUUUUAUUUUAAUAAUUGAAAUACAUAUAUUAAUUGCAAAUUUCGAGUUAUGUUAUGUUGGGAUUGCUAGGUUAAAUAUGUUUAAUAAAAAAAAAAAAAAAAAAAAGAGACUUGAAUUAGAGCAGGUUUGGAAUACUUCAUAAAAUAAUUAGAGCAUUCUCUUUUCUUCAAAGCUAUUCCUUAGCGCCAAAUAUCAGAAGUUUGAUUAGUUCAUCUAGAGUAUGUCAUCAACAAUUGAUAAACAAAUAAUAGUAACCAAGCAAAAGUAGGCAUCUACUUCCAAAAGAAAAUGUAAAAGCACGUAACAACAUUUUCACACAUAAUGAACAACUGCUUGCAUCUAUAUCUACCAGUUUCCAAGGUAAAACAUGCAACUAAGUUAAGCUUUUGCGUUAUAUAAAUACUGUGCCAAAGAGU